AACGAACGCUGGCGGAAUGCUUUACACAUGCAAGUCGAACGGUAGAGGGGGCAACCCCUCGAGAGUGGCGAACGGGUGAGUAAUAUAUCGGAACGUGCCCAGUCGUGGGGGAUAACGUAGCGAAAGUUACGCUAAUACCGCAUACGAUCUAAGGAUGAAAGCGGGGGAUCGCAAGACCUCGCGCGAUUGGCGCGGCCGAUAUCAGAUUAGGUAGUUGGUGGGGUAAAGGCUCACCAAGCCAACGAUCUGUAGCUGGUCUGAGAGGACGACCAGCCACACUGGAACUGAGACACGGUCCAGACUCCUACGGGAGGCAGCAGUGGGGAAUUUUGGACAAUGGACGCAAGUCUGAUCCAGCCAUUCCGCGUGCAGGAUGAAGGCCCUCGGGUUGUAAACUGCUUUUGUACGGAACGAAAAGGUCUCUCUUAAUACGGGGGACUCAUGACGGUACCGUAAGAAUAAGCACCGGCUAACUACGUGCCAGCCGCCGCAGUAA
rnacentral:rRNA from 1 species